GGGGAUUUAGCUCAGUGGUGUAAGCGCCUGCCUUGCAAGCAGACAGUUGUGAGUUCAAUCCCCG
rnacentral:tRNA from 1 species